UAUGGGAUGAAUCCACAUGGUUGGGCAGU
rnacentral:piRNA from 1 species